rnacentral:rRNA from 1 species
UACGAAGGGGGCUAGCGUUGUUCGGAAUCACUGGGCGUAAAGCGUACGUAGGCGGACCAUUAAGUCGGGGGUGAAAUCCCAGGGCUCAACCCUGGAACUGCCUUCGAUACUGGUGGUCUGGAGUCCGGGAGAGGUGAGUGGAACUCCUAGUGUAGAGGUGAAAUUCGUAGAUAUUAGGAAGAACACCAGUGGCGAAGGCGGCUCACUGGCCCGGUACUGACGCUGAGGUACGAAAGCGUGGGGAGCAAACCGG